rnacentral:lncRNA from 1 species
GCGGAUCGCAAGGGGAAAAGACCCCGGAAGUACGCCAAAGUAUAAAACCUCAGGUUAAAAGGUCAAAACUAGUACUUGUCCUUCAAGUCGCCCACUUGGCCCUCUUCCAGAUCAUAUGAAGUGUGCGUAUGGUACCUAUUGGAGCUAUCUUGAGCCCAUAUAAAGAGUAAGCUUUAGAAUGACGGCGACUCACAGAGAAAGCUAAGAAUCAUCAGAAAAUGAAAAUCGAUGUCUCUGAAGUCUCUCUUCAGCCAGGAGGCUUUUCCUAUUGAAGCACUCUGGGGCACAUUGAUUUCUCCUAUGUUUUAACUUCAAACAUGGCAUCAUCUGAAACCUAUAUUUUGGAUACGGCACUGUGUGCUAAUGGGCUGCCCACUCCUUCCUGAAACUACAAACUUGGAGGUCAUGUGUUGAGAUGGCAAGAACAAGAUGGAGGCAACUUGGAUCCUAGAGGAACAAGAUUGAGGAGAAUGUGCCCCUUUCCUCCUACCAGCCCAUGUUUAAUUGGGCAUAAGGUUUUGAUGUUCAACGUUUCAUGCAAGUUCAAAAAACUUGAUUCUGGUAGCAAAAUUAUAGCAGGAAGAGGAAGCAGGACACCAGAGGCUUUUCUUUUCAUGGUGAGUGUCAAACUGAAGCAUAGCCAUCCGUACUUUUUAAUGGAAUGAACAAGCUGUGCUCUCUAAAAACCAGAAUAACUAUUAAUAUCAUCAUCAGCUAUGGAAAUACAGUGGCAGAAUGUGUUAUGUCCCUAGCAACAAUCCUUUUUCUCCUCAGAACUCACCUUGCUUACAUCAUUUCUCACCUUAAGAAAUCAAUUAAUUCGAAGACUUCCUCCACCUAUCCCACUCUAAGACUUAAGAGUCUAAGAGAUAAACAAUACAAUUUGUUCUCUCAUUUUCUCUACAGAGACCUCCUAUUCAGAAUUGGGUUUGGGCUCUGCCUUGCCUCAGGAAGUUAAUAAAAUUCACUUUUCAU